UACGAAGGGGGCUAGCGUUGCUCGGAAUUACUGGGCGUAAAGGGCGCGUAGGCGGCACGGCAAGUCGGGAGUGAAAGCCCGGGGCUCAACCCCGGAGGGUCUUCCGAAACUGCCGGGCUAGAGUGCGGAAGAGGCAACCGGAAUUCCCAGUGUAGCGGUGAAAUGCGUAGAUAUUGGGAAGAACACCGGAGGCGAAGGCGGGUUGCUGGGCCGACACUGACGCUGAGGCGCGAAGCCAGGGGAGCAAACGGGG
rnacentral:rRNA from 1 species